rnacentral:rRNA from 1 species
AUGAUCGAAAAUCUGAGCAAAAGAGUGUUUGCGGUCUCAGCUGUUCUCUAUCAAGGCAUGGUCCCAGAGAUCUACACUUCACCUCAGCAAAUGUCUGGAUGCCACUAUAUUAGAUGUCUUUGCUGGAUGCCCGUUGCUCAGGAGAUAAACGAGCAUGUGGACGAGCCGCAGAGCCGAACAACCAUAAUGACAGCAAUGAGAAAUCUUGCAUGGAGAUCGGCGUGCAGGUUACCUGGGUAUGGAUCUGUGGCAUUUUUUGGACUCCGAUACCGGUCUGUUGGCUAUAUUUGGAAGAAGCCGAAGCUUGAAUUGGUUGUAUUGGGGCAGUACACAUCACGGUGA